UUCAACUAAGCCACCGUUUCACCCAUCAAAAAGGUGGCCCACCGCCCCUCGCUGUAAUAUUACACAGGAUCGAGGUAUUUUUACGUUUUUGAGACUCGAAGCCUCCUCACCUCCACCGCUCCACGUUUUUUCCUAGUUUGCUGCGGACGGUUUUUUUUUUUUUGAAAACAGAAGAGGCAGCGAACAGUAUGACGGCGAACGGCGGCAUGGCGCUCCCGAUCUGCUCGCUCCGGCGCCCCUCAAGGUCCCGAUUUGACUAUAAGCCGGUGGAUCUGGGUUCUCCCGAUGGUGGAGUUGAAGGGGCCCUAGUGGCUAAGGACACGACCGGCAAGCGGGAGGCCACCACAACCAGCGUUCUGGAGCUCUACCACUAAUCAUUCAUCUAGCACACAUCAUCACGUGGAUUAUGUUGACUGGAGAGAUCGCAAGAGGCCGAACAUCCUGCCCAAAGAGGGUUCAUUUCCUCCAUCACGACGGUCCCCAAGCAGCUCUGUGCCACCAGAACACUUUAGUAUUAUCCCAUAUUCAUCGAUUCACUUGGCGCCGGAGCUCUUUAGUAUUGUUCCAUCUUCAUCUAUUUACUUGAGGAUGUAUCUAUUUACCCUCCCACGAGCAUCUACUUGAAUUCAGUUUUAUUUUACAAGAAAUUGAGUUUGCCGAAUGUAGUUAGAUCUCCAUAAUGCAGAGGCGUACUUUGUGUAUUCGAUUUUGAUUUACCCCCAAAUUCAAUAUAUUUGGGCAUAGUCAACUAA